ACUCCUACGGGAGGCAGCAGUGGGGAAUAUUGCACAAUGGGCGCAAGCCUGAUGCAGCCAUGCCGCGUGUGUGAAGAAGGCCUUCGGGUUGUAAAGCACUUUCAGUCGUGAGGAAGGUAGUGUAGUUAAUAGCUGCAUUAUUUGACGUUAGCGACAGAAGAAGCACCGGCUAACUACGUGCCAGCAGCCGCGGUAAUACGUAGGGUGCAAGCGUUGUCCGGAAUUAUUGGGCGUAAAGAGCUCGUAGGCGGUUUGUCACGUCUGCUGUGAAAAUCCAAGGCUCAACCUUGGACUUGCAGUGGGUACGGGCAGGCUAGAGUGCGGUAGGGGAGAUGGGAAUUCCUGGUGUAGCGGUGGAAUGCGCAGAUAUCAGGAGGAACACCAAUGGCGAAGGCACAUCUCUGGGCCGUAACUGACGCUGAGGAGCGAAAGCGUGGGGAGCGAAACAGGAUUAGAUACCCUGGUAGCUACGAGU
rnacentral:rRNA from 1 species